UUCAUGCAGCACUAUUUCUGUACAAUUUCCUCUUCUCUCCAUUAUUUUAGUAUAUUCAGCUUGUUUCAAAAGUGUCUCUGUAGCUUGCCUUAGCAGUUGUAGUGGGCAGUUGCAUCACCAGGGGGGCUUCUGGAUGAUCAGAUCUUUAUUUCCUCAAAGCUUUUCCAGGCAAGGAGCUGUAGAAGCAUGAGAAAAAGACUUCUUUGGUUUCAAAAGGUUUCCUGGGUCAUUGUAAAUUAAAGGCAAAAGUGAGGGUAAAGUGUGGAUAGACAACAAGCAAAGGUAGAGAAACUGCAAGAGUCAUACGAAAAACGUGAAGAAGGGAAAGAAAAACCUCUUCUCCCUCAUUUGUUCUUCACGCCAGUGCAUGCCCAUGUGCACCUCACAUUUCUGCAGUUAGAUGGAAUUGGAUGAUACAGUGGAAUUAAGCCUUUGAGAAUGACCCUGAGCUGCAGUAACACCUGGUAUAAAUGCCCCAGAAGUGCAUGCUGAUAAUGAGUUUACUGAGAAGGGUACAGACCUUGUGGGAAACCAGGAGCUUCCUCAGCUGAGCCUGACCUGGAAGAAAUAAAAGACAAACAUCACUGAGGAAGGAAAAGUAUCUCAAGCAGAGUAUCCUAGGCAGCUUUACCACAUUUAAUCAAAGAGACCGAUCCUGUUCACAAGGUGGAAAAUGCUUAUGAAAGAAGACACCUUUUCUGAACUCAGUGCUCUGGAGAGAAUUUAAGCCCCCAACACAAGAAGGCAGAAGGGAAGAAAGAAGUAUCAGUUGUAAAAGUGGGAAUGAGAAGAGGUGCAUAUGGAACCACAAGAAGAUAGUAUACUCAUAAUUUCAGGUUUUGCAAGGCAUUAAACAUUCAACAAAGAGACCUUGGAAUCUCUCCAAGGUGUUUUGUCAUCAGUUUUCUUGCAUUUUUUCUGCUUACCAGUGGGUCAUCAGAGCAUGGCACAGCACAUGGCACAUUUUGCAUCAACUGCAAGGAGAGGAUGAGAAAGAUUAGUACACAUUUGUGUUGAUGUAUAUGAGCAAGCAACAUACUGUACUGGUUUUGCUUGUGUGAUACCAAAUGUCCUAAGCAUGCCUGUUCUUGUUGGCUCAAUAAAGUUCCUGAGAAUAUCA